rnacentral:rRNA from 1 species
UGGGGAAUAUUGCACAAUGGGCGCAAGCCUGAUGCAGCCAUGCCGCGUGUGUGAAGAAGGCCUUCGGGUUGUAAAGCACUUUCAGCGGGGAGGAAGGCGUUAAGGUUAAUAACCUUGGCGAUUGACGUUACCCGCAGAAGAAGCACCGGCUAACUCCGUGCCAGCAGCCGCGGUAAUACGGAGGGUGCAAGCGUUAAUCGGAAUUACUGGGCGUAAAGUGCACGCAGGCGGUUUGUUAAGUCAGAUGUGAAAUCCCCGGGCUCGACCUGGGAACUGCAUCUGAUACUGGCAAGCUUGAGUCUCGUAGAGGGUGGUAGAAUUCCAGGUGUAGCGGUGAGAUGCGUAGAGAUCUGGAGGAAUACCGGUGGCGAAGGCGGCCCCCUGGACGAAGACUGACGCUCAGGUGCGAAAGCGUGGGGAGCAAACAGG